rnacentral:RNase_P_RNA from 1 species
CCAGAUAAAUGACUUAUCGCUUUAAUUUAUUUUAAAGAGGAAAGUCCGGGCUCCGCAAGGACACAGUGCCAGGUAAUACCUGGCAGGGGAAACCCUAGGGAGAGUGCCACAGAAAAUAAACCGCCAUAACACGGCAAGGGUGAAAAGGUGUGGUAAGAGCACACCGGUUCUAUUGGUAACAAUGAACGCUGGAAAACCCCACUGGGAGCAAGACU